CACUGAUUGACUUAAGAGCGGUGAGUGGCGGAUGGGUGAGUAACACGUGGGUAACCUGCCCUCUAGCGGGGGAUAACAUCUGGAAACAGGUGCUAAUACCGCAUAAAUCGUUGAACCGCAUGGUUCAACGCUGAAAGGCGGCUUCGGCUGUCACUAGAGGAUGGACCCGCGGUGCAUUAGUUAGUUGGUGAGGUAAUGGCCCACCAAGACCGUGAUGCAUAGCCGAACUGAGAGGUUGAUCGGCCACAUUGGGACUGAGACACGGCCCAAACUCCUACGGGAGGCAGCAGUAGGGAAUCUUCCACAAUGGACGAAAGUCUGAUGGAGCAACGCCGCGUGAGUGAAGAAGGUUUUCGGAUCGUAAAGCUCUGUUGUUGGAGAAGAACACUAGUGAGAGUAACUGUUCAUUAGUUGACGGUAUCCAACCAGAAAGCCACGGCUAACUACGUGC
rnacentral:rRNA from 1 species